rnacentral:rRNA from 1 species
AGUGAACGCUGGCGGUAGGCCUAACACAUGCAAGUCGAACGGCAGCACAGUAAGAGCUUGCUCUUACGGGUGGCGAGUGGCGGACGGGUGAGGAAUACAUCGGAAUCUACUUUUUCGUGGGGGAUAACGUAGGGAAACUUACGCUAAUACCGCAUACGACCUACGGGUGAAAGCAGGGGAUCUUCGGACCUUGCGCGAUUGAAUGAGCCGAUUUCGGAUUAGCUAGUUGGCGGGGUAAAGGCCCACCAAGGCGACGAUCCGUAGCUGGUCUGAGAGGAUGAUCAGCCACACUGGAACUGAGACACGGUCCAGACUCCUACGGGAGGCAGCAGUGGGGAAUAUUGGGCAAUGGGCGCAAGCCUGAUCCAGCCAUACCGCGUGAGUGAAGAAGGCCUUCGGGUUGUAAAGCCCUUUUGUUGGGAAAGAAAAGCAGCAGGUUAAUACCCCGCUGUUCUGACGGUACCCAAAGAAUAAGCACCGGCUAACUUCGUG